rnacentral:rRNA from 1 species
UCAGGCCUAACACAUGCAAGUCGUACGAGGUGUAAAUAAUUCACUUGUGAAUUGUUUAUUACUACAGUGGCGCACGGGUGAGUAACACGUAAGAACCUGCCUUUUGGAGGGGGAUAACAUAGGGAAACCUUUGCUAAUACCCCAUAAAGCUGAGGAGCUAAAUCGCAUUUGCGGCCAAGAGAGGGGCUUGCGCCUGAUUAGCUAGUUGGGGAGGUAAUGGCUUCCCAAGGCCACGAUCAGUAGUUGGUCUGAGAGGAUGAUCAGCCACACUGGGACUGAGACACGGCCCAGACUCCUACGGGAGGCAGCAGUGAGGAAUUUUCCGCAAUGGGCGAAAGCCUGACGGAGCAAUACCGCGUGAAGGAAGAAGGAUCGUGGUCUGUAAACUUCUUUCUCAGAGAAGAAGAU